CUAGAACAGAAAAGGGCCUGGCCUUGUGAGAUGGCUGACUGAGUAAACAAUGCUUGUUGCCAAGCCUGAUGACUUGAAUACAAUACCUGCAGCUCAUGUGGUAGAAAGGAACCAGCUCUUACAAGUUGUUCUCUGACUUCCACACAUGCGCCCCUCAUCCUCAAGUAUUAAAAGAACCAGUUAAAAUAGAAAAAUGCAGUUGUGUUUAAAUCCUUUUACUGACACAACAUUUUUUUUCUUCUGUCUUUAGUUAGGCAGGUAAGCCCAGGGAAUUUUAGUAACUUGGGGCUCUGUUUGGAUCAGGUUAUAUAUACUCUCCCACCCCCGGCUUUUCUAAUAACAGCUGGCAGCCUAGUCCUUUUACCUGUCUAUACUGUGCAUAAUACCCCUACCCAAAUAAUGCACCUAGCAAUCUGGAACAUCCACCUGGGUGGGGCUAUCAUAUCUCUUCUCUGAACAAUGGGAUAGGUAUGUCUCCCCUGACAACCAUCAGACUUAGACACUUUCUAUUCUCAUGUGUUCCAACAUUUACAGUACGAAGAGUGGACAAUCCCAACUGGCCUGAUCUGGAUUUGGGCUUGAUGAAAAGAGGCCCCUCACAGUCACCCAGUGGCCGGGAGUAUCCUCAGGUGACCCAUUGCUCUCACAGUAUGCUCUGAUCUUUCUAUUGUUUUGCUUUAAAUACAAUUGCCUUGCUACCUUAACAGUUCUUAGUGAGCAGUUGAGUGUCACCACU
rnacentral:lncRNA from 1 species